CGCUGGCGGCGUGCCCUAAUACAUGCAAGUCGAACGCACUACUCGUUUAGAAUUUGAAGGAGCUUGCUCCUGAUUGAUAAACAUUUGAGUGAGUGGCGGACGGGUGAGUAACACGUGGGUAACCUGCCCUAAAGUGGGGGAUAACAUUUGGAAACAGAUGCUAAUACCGCAUAAAACCUAACACCGCAUGGUGUAGGGUUGAAAGAUGGUUUCGGCUAUCACUUUAGGAUGGACCCGCGGUGCAUUAGUUAGUUGGUGAGGUAAAGGCUCACCAAGACCGUGAUGCAUAGCCGACCUGAGAGGGUAAUCGGCCACACUGGGACUGAGACACGGCCCAGACUCCUACGGGAGGCAGCAGUAGGGAAUCUUCCACAAUGGACGAAAGUCUGAUGGAGCAACGCCGCGUGAGUGAAGAAGGUUUUCGGAUCGUAAAACUCUGUUGUUGGAGAAGAAUGUAUCUGAUAGUAACUGAUCAGGUAGUGACGGUAUCCAACCAGAAAGCCACGGCUAACUACGUG
rnacentral:rRNA from 1 species